CACCGCGGUUAUACGAGAGGCCCAAGCUGAUAGACUGCGGCGUAAAGAGUGGUUAAGAUGAAACAAAAACUAAAGUCGAAUGCCUUCAAAGCUGUUAUACGCUUCCGAAGUUAGCAGAAGCUCAACCACGAAAGUGACUUUAAACCCACUGACUCCACGAAAGCUAGGGAA
rnacentral:rRNA from 1 species